rnacentral:misc_RNA from 1 species
GUUUCUUUUGUACAUUACGCACAACAUGACAUUCCAUUACAUUCAAGAGUGUGUGAAAAUACUCGAGCGCCAGGCCUGUCAAGGCCAUGCAAAGCGGCACUCAGAGUCAUAGAUGCACAGGUGUGUGGGAUUUGCGACUCGCAAGACGUGCACUUGUGUCUCCACCAGCACAAUCCGACGAGCCGACUUUGAAGAUUCACUAAUGAUCCUUCCGCAGGUUCACCUACGGAAA